AAACGCGACAAAACAUUGAAAGAAAGUGAAGCAGUAACCAGUGUCGCGAGUGGUCUUGUUGAAAAAGAUAAACGCUAAUUUUUAUAUUACAUAAGGAAGUACUGAUCUUGAAAUCUCGCAUAUCUCUUUCAAGAAUAUGGUGUGACUAAUAAUUGACGCGGUGGGCUACGUGAAGAACAAGAUCACAAAGGCCGUCAAAGGUUCUGGUUCCGAUGAGAAGGAAAAAACCACCUCAUCGUCCAGCUGUGUCCUAAAAGGCAGCAGCAAGAACACUGGUCAAUGUGAAUCUAUGAAUUCUACGCCACCGCUAACAAGCAUGUCAGCUGGUCCAGUGGAGCCCUCUGCUCCACCAGCAUACGAUUCCAUAUACAAUUAAAGCUUGGUCUGCACUGUCAAAUGUUAUGUUAGAAAUACUAUGUUGCCUAUGUUGGCAGAGACAACUAGAUUUUUCUGACGGUGGUGCGAUAUGACAUCACCAUGCCCAUGUAUGAGCGAAUCACAUAUAUUUCCAUAACAUUUGCUUUCAACCUAGCUUUCAGUACACCUUGAAAUCUAGUUUACCAAACUUUACUGCAGAAAAAAAAUUUCAAGAAAGGAUUUUAUCUUUGUUAUACAUUAUUUAUAGAUUGUUUUAAUGAUUAUAUCACAACAUCAGGGUAGAUUAUGUUAUAAGGAUUCUUCAGGGAUUUGAAAAGUUUACAUAAUUUUAUAAUCAAUUUUGUUUAAUCUUUGCAUAAAUUAUAUAAAUGUUGCAUAAAUUGUUAAAACCCUUUCUUUAAGUUUCCUCUUACUUUGGAAUUAAUUUCAGUUUAUCUGUAAUGAAAUAUAUGAUAGUUAGGUUUUAAACUCACCAAAGGUGAACAAACUUUGCUUGAUGACUUUUUCAAAGAAAAACUGAACUUGAUUUAAUCUGGAAGAUUCUGUAGCUUGUAACUGUUUAUAUUGGUGAUGUAAAAAAUGAUUGAGAUUAUGUAUUAAUAGGUAUAUAAAUAGAU